AUGUUGCAGGACUGAAUUCCCUAUGUACUGGCAAAGUGGAACAGCAUGGUCUGCAACAGUGCAAGCUUCAACACAAUACCCAGCCAGUGUGCCUCAGUGCCUACUUAGAAUGACGAUAUCUACAGAUGAGAGAAAUUCAGGUUUCUUGCCUGCUGCAGUCCUUGGCUACC
rnacentral:sRNA from 1 species